rnacentral:rRNA from 1 species
GACGAACCGUGCGAACGUUGUUCGGAAUCACUGGGCUUAAAGGGCGCGUAGGCGGCUUGCCAAGUCAGGGGUGAAAUCUUUCGGCUCAACCGGAAAAGUGCCUUUGAUACUGGCAGGCUCGAGGGAGGUAGGGGCAUGUGGAACUUCCGGUGGAGCGGUGAAAUGCGUUGAUAUCGGAAGGAACGCCGGUGGCGAAAGCGACGUGCUGGACCUCUUCUGACGCUGAGGCGCGAAAGCCAGGGUAGCGAACGGG